GUGCCAGCCGCCGCGGUAAGACGAACCGUGCGAACGUUAUUCGGAAUCACUGGGCUUAAAGCGCGUGCAGGCGGGCCGGCACGUCGGUCGCUGAAAUCCCCCGGCUCAACCGGGGAACGGGCGCCGAUACGACCGGCCUGGAGGGGGGUAGGGGGAGCCGGAACUCACGGUGGAGCGGUGAAAUGCGUUGAGAUCGUGAGGAACGCCCGUGGCGAAAGCGGGCUCCUGGACCUUGCCUGACGCUGAGACGCGAAAGCCAGGGGAGCGAACGGGAUUAGAUACCCCCGUAGUCC
rnacentral:rRNA from 1 species